rnacentral:rRNA from 1 species
GAUGAACGCUAGCGGGAGGCCUAACACAUGCAAGCCGAGCGGGAUUUGUUGGUUAGCUUGCUAACUGACGAUGAGAGCGGCGUACGGGUGCGGAACAUGUGUGCAAUCUGCCCUUAUCAAGGGGAUAGCCCAGAGAAAUCUGGAUUAAUACCCUAUAACAUAUGGGAUGGCAUCAUUUCAUAUUAAAAGCUACGGCGGAUAAGGAUGAGCACGCACAAGAUUAGCUAGUUGGUAAGGUAACGGCUUACCAAGGCGACGAUCUUUAGGGGGCCUGAGAGGGUGAUCCCCCACACUGGGACUGAGACACGGCCCAGACUCCUACGGGAGGCAGCAGUGAGGAAUAUUGGACAAUGGGUGGAAGCCUGAUCCAGCCAUCCCGCGUGCAGGACGACUGCCCUAUGGGUUGUAAACUGCUUUUAUAUAGGGAUAAACCUACUCUCGUGAGAGUAGCUGAAGGUACUAUAUGAAUAAGCACCGGCUAACUCCGUGCCAGCAGCCGCGGUAAUACGUAGGGGGCAAGCGUUAUCCGGAUUUACUGGGUGUAAAGGGAGCGCAGACGGCAAUGCAAGUCUGAAGUGAAAGGCGUGGGCUCAACCCAUGAACUGCUUUGGAAACUGUAUAGCUUGAGUGUCGGAGGGGUAAGCGGAAUUCCUAGUGUAGCGGUGAAAUGCGUAGAUAUUAGGAGGAACACCGGAGGCGAAGGCGGCUUACUGGACGACAACUGACGUUGAGGCUCGAAGGCGUGGGGAGCAAACAGG